rnacentral:rRNA from 1 species
UACGGGGGGGGCAAGCGUUGUUCGGAAUUACUGGGCGUAAAGGGCUCGUAGGUGGCCAACUAAGUCAGACGUGAAAUCCCUCAGCUUAACUGGGGAACUGCGUCUGAUACUGGAUGGCUUGAGUUUGGGAGAGGGAUGCGGAAUUCCAGGUGUAGCGGUGAAAUGCGUAGAUAUCUGGAGGAACACCGGUGGCGAAGGCGGGUCUCUGGGCCGAUGUUACUGACGCUGAGAGCGAAGCGUGGGGAGCGAACAGGAUUGGAGAAACCCAUGGGUAGUCAGAACCCAAG